rnacentral:rRNA from 1 species
AACGAACGCUGGCGGCAUGCCUAACACAUGCAAGUCGAACGCCUGUAGCAAUACAGGAGUGGCAGACGGGUGAGUAACACGUAGGAAUCUACCCAGUAGUCUGGAAUAACCGCGGGAAACUGCGGCUAAUACCGGAUACGCCCCCGGGGGAAAGGAGCAAUCCACUAUUGGAGGAGCCUGCGUCCGAUUAGCUAGUUGGCGGGGUAAUGGCCCACCAAGGCGACGAUCGGUAGCUGGUUUGAGAGAACGACCAGCCACACUGGGACUGAGACACGGCCCAGACUCCUACGGGAGGCAGCAGUUGGGAAUAUUGGACAAUGGGGGAAACCCUGAUCCAGCAAUGCCGCGUGGGUGAUGAAGGCCUUUGGGUUGUAAAGCCCUUUUGGCGGGGACGAAAAGGCUGUGGCUAAUAUCCAUAGCUGCUGACGGUACCUGAAGAAUAAGCACCGGCUAACUACGUGCCAGCAGCCGCG